rnacentral:rRNA from 1 species
UACGGAGGGUCCAAGCGUUAUCCGGAUUCAUUGGGUUUAAAGGGUGCGUAGGCGGGAUUAUAAGUCAGUGGUGAAAUCCUACAGCUCAACUGUAGAACUGCCAUUGAUACUGUAGUCCUUGAGUAUGGAUGAAGUGGGCGGAAUGUGGCAUGUAGCGGUGAAAUGCAUAGAUAUGCCACAGAACACCGAUUGCGAAGGCAGCUCACUAAACCAUUACUGACGCUGAGGCACGAAAGCGUGGGGAGCGAACAGG